GCUGGGUGUGGUGGCGCGCGCCUGUAAUCCCAGCUGCUCGGGAGGCUGAGGCUGGAGGAUCGCUUGAGCUCAGCAGUUCUGGGCUGCAGUGUGCUAUGCCAGUCGGUUGUCCGCACUAAGUUCGGCAUCAAUAUGGUGACCUCCUGGGAGCAGGGGACCACCAGGUUGCCUAAGGAGGGGUGAAUUGGCCCAGGUCGGAAACGGAGCGGGUCAGAACUCCAAAAAAAAAAAAAAAAAAAAAAGAGUCAUGAUUCUCAAUCUGUUGGAUCCUGACUCU
rnacentral:SRP_RNA from 1 species